GGCGCGAGGCUGCCUUUCCCGGGAUCACCAGGGACCACCCGGCGCGCUCCCCGGGAAUCCGCACCCCUGGCCCCAGCGCUCCGGAGCGACCCGGGUCAGCCCCUGGCUGCCUGCAAUGGGCCCCCGGGCGAACCCCGGGCGGACCCAGGAGUGAGCACCCGGUGCGCGGCAACGAUGAUCCCGCAAGGGAAGCUCACGGGAGGCAGGAGCUGUGGCAGCCGCCCCAGGAUGGGGCGCGGGGAGCGCGCUGAGCUGUCCUUUCCCGCAGCGGCCCCGCGGUUGAAGCGUGGGCUUGGGUUUUGGUUUUUCUUCUGUGGCAACAGUUCUGUUGAGAUAUUACUCGCCUGCCAUACAACUCACCCAUUUUAAAAGUACACCUCAGGGGUCCUGCGUGUAUUGACAAACCCGCCGCCGUCACCACAGCCAAUUUCAGAACAUUUUCAUCUCUUCAAAAGAAACCCUGUACCCUUCAGCUGUCACCCUCCUGGUCCCCAUCCGGUCCUCGUCCCGCCCUCAGCAGCCACGCACUGCCUGUAAAGUCCCCUGUCCUGCCCUGUAGGUGGAAUCUAUACCUUGGGGUCUGUUCUGACGUUCACCUAACAGCCUUUCCAGGCUCAGCUGUGCUAUUGUAUGGACCAGGGGGUUGUUUUGUUUUUGUUGUUUGUUGAUUGUGUGUGUGUGUGUGUGUGUGUGUGUGUGUGUGUGUGUGAGCCUGGCGUGGUUGCGGGCGCCUAUAAUCCCAGCUGCUCAGGAGGCUGAGGCAGGAGGAUCACUCGAGCUCAGGAGUUUGAGGCUGCAGAGUUGAUCAUGCCACUGGACUCCAUCCUGGGCGACAGAGCAAGACUCUGUCUUUUAAAAAAAAAAACGGGGCUGGGCGCGGUGGCUCACGCCCGUAAUCCCAACACUUUGGGAGGCCGAGGCAGGCGAAUCACGAGGUCAGGAUUUCGAGGCCAGCCUGGCCAACAUGGUGAAACCCCGUCUCUACUAAAAAUACAAAAAUUAGCUGGGCAUGGUGGCGGGCGCCUGUAAUCCCAGCUACUAGGGAGGCUGAGCCAAGAGAAUGGCUUGAAUCCGGGAGGCGGAGGCAGAGGUUGCAGUGAGCCGAGAUCGUGCCACUGCACUCCAGACUGCAGCCCUGGUGACAGUGCGAGACUCUGUCUCCAAAAAAAAAAAAAAAACAAACAAAAAACAAUAAAUAACAAGGUCGGCUGAGGUGGCUCACGUCUGUAAUCCUAGCACUUUGGGAGGCCGAGGCGGGUGGAUUACCUGAGAUCAGGAGUUUGAGACCAGCCUGACCAGCAUGGAGAAACCCCGUUUCUACUAAAAAUACAAAAUUAGCCAGGCGUGGUGGCGCAUGCCUGUAGUCCCAGCUACUCGGGAGGCUGAGGCAGGAGAAUCGCUUGAACCUGGGAGGCAGAGGUUGCAGUGAGCCGAGAUCAUGCCAUUGCACUUGCAGCCUGGGUGACAGAGCAAGACUCUGUCUCAAAAAAAAAAAAAAAAAAAGACUCAAAAAAAAACAAAAAUCAGCCAGGCGUGGUGGUGUACACCUGUAGUCCCAGCUACUCUGGAGGCUGAGGCAGGAGAAUCGCUUGAACCCAUGAGGCAGAGGUUGCAGUGAGCCGAGAUUGCGCCACUGCACUCCAGCCUGGCAACAGAGCAAGACUCCGUCUCAUAUAAAGAAAUAAAACAAAAAUAAACAAAUUUUAAAAACAAACACAUUCCUAUACAGGUUUCUGUGUGGACAGCGUCUGCUCUUGGGUCUGCACCUGGGAGUGGAAUUGCUGGGUUGUGUGGUAACUGGAUGUUCACCCAUAGGAUGAACGACCACACUCUUUUGCACAGUGGCCGAUGGUUCUGGUCUCUCUACAGCCUCACCAACUCUUAUAUUCUUUUUGAUUACAGCCACUCUAGCAGGCAUGAGGUGGUACGUCAUUGUGGCUUUGACCUGCAUUUCUCUGGUGUCUAAUGGUGUUGAGCAUUUUUUCGUGGGUGUUACUGACCAUUUGUAUAUCUUAGAGAAAUGUCUAUUCAGAUAAUUUGCCUAUUUUUAAUUGGGUUCGUUGUCUUUUUAUUGAGUUGUAAUACUUUAUUCGGGAUACUAGACCCUUAUUAGACACAUGAUUUGCAAAUAUUUUCACCCAUUCUUUGGGAUGUCUUGUUAACCUUUUUGAUGGUGUCCCUUGAAGCACAAAAGUUUUUAAUUUUGAUGAAAUCUAAUUUAUUUUUGUUGUUGUUCCUUGUGCUUUUGGUGUCAUAGCUAAGGAACCCCUGCUUAAUCCAAGAUCAUGAAGAUUUGUGUCUAUGAUUUCUUAACAGUUUUAUAGUUUAUUUAUAUUUAUAUAAAUAUGUUUUUGAGACAGGGUCUCACUCUGUUGGCGAGGCUGGUCUUGAACUCCUGACCUCAGGUGAUCUGCCUGGCUCAGCCUCCCAAAGUGCUGGGAUUGCAGCCGUGAGCCACCGCGCCCGGCUUGACUUCUUCCUUUUAUAUGUGGGUAUUUUUCUGUCCCAGCGUCAUUUGUUAAAAAGACAGUCCUUUCUCCGUGUAAUUGUUUUGGCACCGUGUGGAAACCCGCUGCCUGUAGCCAGGAGCUUCUUUCCAGCCCUCAGUUCUGUCCCAUUGCUCUGUGUGUC
rnacentral:lncRNA from 1 species